rnacentral:rRNA from 1 species
UACGUAGGGUGCGAGCGUUGUCCGGAAUCACUGGGCGUAAAGGGCGCGUAGGCGGUUGGGGUAGUCCGUGGUGAAAGCUCGUGGCUCAACUACGAGUCGGCCAUGGAUACUCCUCGACUUGAGCACUGUAGAGGCAGGUGGAAUUCCGGGUGUAGCGGUGGAAUGCGUAGAGAUCCGGAAGAACACCAAUGGCGAAGGCAGUCCGCUGGGCCGUUGCUGACGCUGAGGCGCGACAGCGUGGGGAGCAAACAGG